UACGUAGGGUGCAAGCGUUAAUCGGAAUUACUGGGCGUAAAGCGUGCGCAGGCGGUUAUGCAAGACAGAUGUGAAAUCCCCGGGCUUAACCUGGGAACCGCAUUUGUGACUGCAUAGCUGGAGUACGGCAGAGGGAGAUGGAAUUCCGCGUGUAGCAGUGAAAUGCGUAGAUAUGCGGAGGAACACCGAUGGCGAAGGCAGUCCCCUGGGCCUGUACUGACGCUCAUGCACGAAAGCGUGGGGAGCAAACAGG
rnacentral:rRNA from 1 species